AUUUUUUUUUUAAAAUUCUUUCUCAUUUAUUUUAUUUCAUAAAAACAAAAUGAUUGCAUUAUAUUUGUUAAAAAUGUGAACUUACAAAAAGCUGUACACAUUGUGUAAUGUUUAGGGGUUGCAUUGAAAGAGCCAAUCAAAUGCAACAAACAGCUUUCGCUUUUUAAAUGCACAAAACAAGUUAAUACUGUAGAAAAUGUGUCAAUCAACGCACAAUUCACUUGUGAACAAAUUACACACACAGUAACUUUUAAAAAAGAAAAACCCAAAAACUUAAUUGCUUUGAAAUAAAAGAAAAAACAAUUAUUAGUAAAAAAAAAUUUUUUUUAAUUAAAUAUGAAGACAAUAAAACCAUACGAUCUGUAUAAUAGUUUUGUAACUACAUUCUGUAUAUAUAUAUAUAUAUUUUGGGAAAGAGGAGGUGGGCAGUUAUAGUCCAUAGAACAUUUCCAGAGACUAGUCAAUGAAAGAUCUUUACAACAAAUCUUCAAUAAUAUACAGCUGUUACUUUCUAUUUGUUGACUGAAUUAUAUUUAGAUGGUGCUGCUGAAGUAGAACACCUUUAGAGGAGUAAAUAAUUUAUACCCAAUUGACCAAAGCUCUCAUUAUAGUGUGAAUGUGUUGUAAAGAAUAAAACGUAGGUGCUAUUUCUUGUUGUUUUUAGCUAAUAGUUUUGAAAAUGGUAUAAAUAUUAAAUGUCAUUAUAUCAUACAACAUUUGUAUUAGUGAAGUCCCCAGAAUCCAAUUCAUACUGCAAAAAAAUGUCAAUUUAUUUUCUUUACAUUUAAACUUCACUUUAUUUCUGCUUUACACCAACACAUUCAUUUAUAAAACCAAUUGAAUACUUUGUCUUCUUUAAAGCUGUGAAAAAACUGAUUACAUAAUUUUUAUUAUUGUAUGAAUCAAAAGUAAAGAUGACAUAGCAAUUUUACUGUCACUGAGUGAGUAAGCUAAAUAAACAAAAACUAUUUUUUUUUUUAAAGAAAGCAAAGAUAUAUAAAUUGUUUUAAAUGUAUAUAAUUUUAAUUUGACAAGACAUUUAAAAAGACAUUCAAAAGAGCAUUUUAAAAAUCAUCUAUUUCUUUCUCAAUUCAAAAUUUAAAUGAGAAAUAAUUUUAAACCUUUCUUUUUUUCACAUGCUUGAUUCUAAAUGAAUAUCCAAAAUAGAUACUGGUUGAAAAAAGACAAUAAGAAACAACCCUGUAUCUAAAAAUAAAACAUUUCAAUAGCUUACUGGUCACAGUAGCUAAUGUUCAAACAUGAUAUGUUCAAUUACUCUCUGAGGGGAGAAACUCUGGACACACUAACAAUAUUUUUGUUUGGUGAUGACUCCAGUAGACAAUUAGCUCAAAAGUAAAUGAUUGGAAUUAAUUUUAUUCAACAUGCUUUCUUUUCCUGAUGUGAAAUAAUCCAUUUGAAAAAAAAAAAAAGGUUAAUACGUUUGACAUGAUAAUCAAAUGUUGCACUCAAGACAAUAGAACGUGGACUAUCAAUUAGUCAAAACAAUAGAACGUGGACUAUCAAUUAGUCAAGACAAUAGAACGUGGACUAUCAAUUAGUCAAGAC